CAUGGAGUUGCAAAAUGCAAGUGCACUGGAGAUCUGCCGAGUGCCCUAUAGGUGGCAGUGUAGUUGAUACUGAUUUGUAUGUGAAAUGUUGUUUGUCUGUUGACCUAUAGGUGUCAGUGUUUUGGGGUUUGUAAAACCCUAUGAAAAUUGUCAAUGUACUUGACAGACCUGUAGGUGGCAGUGUUGAUAGAACCACUGUUAGUCUUAAUGUGAAAUGUAAAUUAUUGUGAAUUAAACCUGAAGUUGAGCCUGUGUUGGAGUUUAAUUCAUGGUUUAUGGUUAUGUUUAAAACAAUCUUAUGUGUAAUUUAUAUUGGCUGGUAAUUGUAUAUGACAUGUGAAGACAGUUUUGCUGUUAACCAGUAGGGGUCAGAAAUGCUGAUUGUAUGGUAAAAUACCCUUUAACCCCUGAAGGAUACAUGACAUGUGUGACAUGUCAUGAUUCCCUUUCAUUCCAGAGUUUGGUCCUUAAGGGGUUAAUCCAAAUGCAAGGUUAACGUGAGAUUUUGAGAGUGACCUGUAGGGGUCAGUGUGGUUUAUAUGAAUCAUUGUUUGUGAGCUAUGCCCCAGCAUUAUAGUUGUAUGACAGGGAAACAAACAGUGCCCGUUUGACAAUAUACAAUAAGUGAACAUAAUAGCUUAAUAACAGUCAUUGUAACAAACCAAAGUUCUGUUCGUGGGUUGUAAACGCACGAAGCGUGUGUGUAGUACAAUAGUAAAUGCAUGAACUAGUACCCGUUUGAUAGAAAAUUGCACGAACCGUGAGCCUGGUAUGUCAGGGAAACCAUACGAAACGAGCAGUGAGAAAUGCACGCACCGAAUUGCCUAGUAUGUUUAGGCAAUUGAAACAGAAUGUGUUCCCGUUUGGGAGUAUGCUAAUGCUUGAAAUGAGCCAGUGACAGAUAUAAACAAGUGAAUUUAAACGAAUGAUAUGC